UCACUCAACAUAAAUGACAACGGAUGGACAUACAGUUCUCAAAAUAGGUUUUUAAAAAGAAAAGUACACAAUUUAACAGAGGCUCGUUUAAACUGAACUGAAAAUGUAUAUGGAUUUGUUAAAUCCAACUUAAAGUCCAUAACAUGCA